rnacentral:lncRNA from 1 species
CUUUCAUCAACAAGAGAUCAAUCAGAAAACCAUCCAUAAUCGUCAUAAGUCUCUUUUUAAAUAGAUUUGUGAGGCUCUUAACGUGUGUAUAGCAUAAUUCACUCUCAGACCAUAUGUAACUCCACUAUUGAAAUUACAGUAUCAAAAAUCCUAACAGUGUGGCUGGUAGUGCACCACUCGCACUCACCUCUGCUCCUUUGGCGCUUGUGUUGCUGCCACUUCG